CUACUGGUUACUGUAUGGUAUAGUUUCCUCCUGGUUACUGUAUGGUAUAGUAAGAGAAGGUCAUCAGAGGGCAGCCCUGCCCAGGGGGACGACCGUACGGAGGGACACUGGACAGACGUGGAGACCAGGGUAAGAGAAGGUCAUCAGAGGGCAGCCCUGCCCAGGGGGACGACUGUACGGAGGGACACUGGACAGACGUGGAGACCAGGGUAAGAGAAGGUCAUCAGAGGGCAGCCCUUCCCAGGGGGACGACUGUACGGAGGGACACUGGACAGACGUGGAGACCAGGAUGAGGGCUGGAUGGAUCCAGGGUCCAGGCUACCAGCACCGUGGAUAUCAGAGGCGCAGAAAGCCCUGAGAUGGUCAAGUCCUGUGCUGUCUGGGUUGCUCCAUACACCUCAUCCCCUCCCUCCUCAACCCUCACCCCC